rnacentral:rRNA from 1 species
UUGACCUCAAAUUGGGUGAGACUACCCGCUGAACUUAAGCAUAUCA